rnacentral:rRNA from 1 species
UACGUAGGUGGCAAGCGUUGUCCGGAGUUAUUGGGCGUAAAGCGCGCGCAGGCGGUGCGGUAAGUCUCUGGUGAAAGCGCUCGGCUUAACUGGGCGAGGGCCGGGGAGACUGCCACGCUGGAGGGGAGCAGAGGCGAGUGGAAUUCCGGGUGUAGUGGUGAAAUGCGUAGAGAUCGGGAAGAACACCAGUGGCGAAGGCGGCCGGCUGGGGGUGUCCUGACGCUGAGGCGCGAGAGCGUGGGGAGCAAACCGG